ACGAAGACAUAAAAGUGAGCGCUAAUUUCAAGAUAGAUCGUAGAAACGUAGAAAAAGUUUUGUUUUCUCAAAAAACUUCGAUCAUUCAAUAAGUUGCAUCUAUCAAAUAAAGUAAAAUAAUCGAAAUAUAAUAAAGAUUAGAAAAAGGAAAAUUACCAAAACGGGGAAGUAAAAGUUAAGAAAAAAAUUGAAAAACAAAUAAAAUAUUCAAAUUCAAUAGAAGGAAAGGUACGAUAUAAACGACAAAAGUUGGGAAUAAGGAUAUUAAAAAAGUAAAAUAAAAUCAAAGGGGGAGAAAGAAAUAAGAAGAAAGAAAAGUGCAUCAUCCUAGGGUGCAUCCUAGUGCAUCAUCCAUCAAAUACAUGGGAGUAGGGUUAGCCGCGAUUGCAGCGCCGCGGUGCAUCUCGACGGCGAUGUCCGGAGAUAAAUUGAUGUAGCAUUGCGCAUGCGCGUAUAAAAUUUCUCCCUUACACCGUCCCGCCACCUUUGGACGAACCGAAAUAAAUCGAACGACGCCGAGUCGAUCAGCAGUACGGUAUUCGUUGGACGCGACCGUUUUUUGCGUUUAGUGAUGAUCAGGACGAGUCGUCGUUGUUGUCGUCGACGUUGUUGUUCGUGGCACUGCGCGAAAACGAAGUAGCAGAGUUGUAUUAGACGGGGGGACACGCACAGUUCAGAAAUAAAUAAUCGUUCGUUCGUGAGAGAAAAGAAAUUAAGAAGAAAGAAAAUAAAACAGAAGAUAAACAAGACGAUAAGAAAGUAAGGGAUAAAAGUCAAGUAAAGAAGGAAGGAAGGAAGGAAGAAAUAAAGAAAAGGAAGAGGAAGAACGAGGAACGAGGACACGCGCGUCGUCGUUUGCUGCCGCGGCCACGGAUGCAUAUGGAGGUGUCCCCGAACCGGCGCUGUCUGAACCAGCUCAACAGCUGAUCGGAGUACGAAGCGGCGGUGAACGGGGCCACUAUUGCACCACCACCCCGCAUAUUUGCAAGAUAAUCGUUAAGGAAUAAUAACGAGAUCUUUUAAAGGCUCACGUUUGAAAGAGAAGAACUGUGUUGGCAGAAGGAAAGAGAAAGAAAAAAAAGACAAGAAAGAAAGAAAGAGAGGUAGCAAACAAGAUUUAAACGAGUUAGAAAAUAAAAAACCAAGACAAAUUAAUUAAACAGGGGGCGGGCAAACGAUAUAUGAAAAACAACAAGAAAUAAAAUACAAAUUUUAGCAACCGAUAGAA
rnacentral:lncRNA from 1 species